rnacentral:rRNA from 1 species
GAUGAACGCUGGCGGCGUGCCUAAUACAUGCAAGUCGAGCGAACAGACGAGGAUCUUGCUCCUCUGACGUUAGCGGCGGACGGGUGAGUCAUACGUGGAUAACCUACCUAUAAGACUGGGAUCACUUCGGGAAAGCGGAUCUAAUACCGGAUCAUAUAUUGAACCGCAUGGUUCAAUAGUGAAAGCCGGUUUUGCUGUCACUUAUAGAUGGAUCCGCGCCGCAUUAGCUAGUUGGUAAGGUAACGGCUUACCAAGGCAACGAUGCGUAGCCGACCUGAGAGGGUGAUCGGCCACACUGGAACUGAGACACGGUCCAGACUCCUACGGGAGGCAGCAGUAGGGAAUCUUCCGCAAUGGGCGAAAGCUUGACGGAGCAACGCCGCGUGAGUGAUGAAGGUCUUCGGAUCGUAAAACUCUGUUAUUAGGGAAGAACAAAUGUGUAAGUAACUAUGCACGUCUUGACGGUACCUAAUCAGAAAGCCACGGCUAACUACGUG